rnacentral:rRNA from 1 species
UACGGAGGAUCCAAGCGUUAUCCGGAUUUAUUGGGCUUAAAGGGCGCGUAGGCGGAUUGAUAAGUCAGUGGUGAAAUCCUACAGCUUAACUGUAGAAUUGCCAUUGAUACUGUCAAUCUUGAGUACAUUUGAUGUGGGCGGAAUGUGUCAUGUAGCGGUGAAAUGCUUAGAUAUGACACAGAACACCGAUUGCGAAGGCAGCUCACAAAGCUGUACCUGACGCUGAGGCACGAAAGCGUGGGUAUCAAACAGG